UGGGGAAUAUUGCACAAUGGGCGCAAGCCUGAUGCAGCAACGCCGCGUGAACGAUGAAGGUCUUCGGAUCGUAAAGUUCUGUUGCAGGGGAAGAUAAUGACGGUACCCUGUGAGGAAGCCCCGGCUAACUACGUGCCAGCAGCCGCGGUAAUACGUAGGGGGCUAGCGUUAUCCGGAUUUACUGGGCGUAAAGGGUGCGUAGGUGGUCUUUCAAGUCGGUGGUUAAAGGCUACGGCUCAACCGUAGUUAGCCUCCGAAACUGGAAGACUUGAGUGCAGGAGAGGAAAGUGGAAUUCCCAGUGUAGCGGUGAAAUGCGUAGAUAUUGGGAGGAACACCGGUGGCGAAGGCGGCUAUCUGGACAGUAACUGACGCUGAGGCGCGAAAGCGUGGGGAGCAAACAGG
rnacentral:rRNA from 1 species